rnacentral:rRNA from 1 species
AUUGAACGCUGGCGGAAUGCUUUACACAUGCAAGUCGAACGGCAGCACGGACUUCGGUCUGGUGGCGAGUGGCGAACGGGUGAGUAAUGUAUCGGAACGUGCCCAGUCGUGGGGGAUAACGUAGGGAAAAUUACGCUAAUACCGCAUACGAUCUAUGGAUGAAAGCGGGGGAUCGCAAGACCUCGCGCGAUUGGAGCGGCCGAUAUCAGAGUAGGUAGUUGGUGGGGUAAAGGCCCACCAAGCCAACGAUCUGUAGCUGGUCUGAGAGGGACGACCAGCCACACUGGAACUGAGACACGGUCCAGACUCCUACGGGAGGCAGCAGUGGGGAAUUUUGGACAAUGGGCGAAAGCCUGAUCCAGCCAUUCCGCGUGCAGGAUGAAGGCCCUCGGGUUGUAAACUGCUUUUGUACAGAACGAAAAGGUUUCUACUAAUACUAGGAGCUCAUGACGGUACUGUAAGAAUAAGCACCGGCUAACUACGUGCCAGCCGCCGCGGUAA